rnacentral:lncRNA from 1 species
CUCUUCUCUCAAUCUGAUUUGUUUGCUAUGCAUCCAUAGGUAGAAACUUUCUCUAUUUAUAGAUGAAUCCCAUGACCCAAUAAGUGUAGGAGUCCUAACUCAAAUCUGAAUCAGCCCAAUACUUAUAAAAGAAAGAUUCCUACAUGAGAUAGAAUUAUCAUCACUUAUGACAACCACUUUGCACUCACUCCCUCAUCCACAUGGGACACCCCAAACCAGCACCAUUCC